UUUUGUGCUUUUACAUAACGUAUGACAUUUUUAACUUUAUAAUUUCGAAGGGAGCCGUGGUAUACAUAUAUAAGUAUAUAAGAAACGCGAAAUUACCAAGACGGCAGAGCUAACAGACGUUGCGUUCCGGUUUGAAGGGUGAGUGAGCCAGUGUAACUACAGACUCAAGAACAUAACAUAAUAGUUCCCAAGUUUGGGUGCAAUGUCUAUGGGCAGUGGUGACCACUUAACAUCAGGCCUAUUUGCCCUUUUUUUCGAACUGUCUAGUAGCUGUUGGCCCUAAUGGCCUCUACAGCGUCACCGGGUGGGUUGGGCGAGAUGAACUCCAUUAUAUAUUAUUAUUAUAAAUGCGACUCUGCAACUCUCUGUCGGUGACGCUUUCACGGCUAAACCAUUGAACAGGAUUUAAGGCAAUUUGCUAUGUAGCGAGCUUGAACACCCUAAGGACAUUCCUAACACCAGUUCCUUCCCCCCUAAAACGCGGGCGUAAACUAAUUCUAUAAAAUUUCAAUUAGUAACUAGCCCUCUAGUAUUAUACUUAUGAUAUCUGUGGCACGCAUUGUGAAAUAUUGUGGUUUUAUUUUUGUAUAUGUACUGCUUUUACUGACUGUAUUAGUUAUAUGAGCCAAAUAAAUAAAUCCAUAAAAUGUUCAACGUUCAGCAAAUCACAAGUCGCGCCAAUAAUUAAUUAAUUACUUUAUCUUUCAGCGCAUUAACAAAAUGUCGGUUUUAAAUUAGAGCGCGUCUCUUUUUGACAACGGUUUUGUAUUUUUUCCUUUAAUAGGUAGGCGGACGAGAAAAUGGGCCACCUGAUGGUAAGUGGUAACCACCGUUCGUAGACAUUGGCAUUGAAAGGAAUGUUAACCAUCGCUUACAUCGCCAAUGCACCACUAACCUUGGGAACUAAGAUGUUAUGUCCCUUGUGCCUGUAAUUACCCCGGCUCACUCACCCUUGUGUUGUUUUGCUUAGAAUAUCUGAUGAGUGGGUGGUACCUACCCAGACGAGCUUGCACAUAAUGCUACCACCAGUAAAUCUAGGAAUCUCUGUAAAUAAUUCAAGAUUUUGAACCUUCGAGAUUCACGACCAAAGAUAUCUCCUGUUUAGCAACAGCCUAAGGACAUUGCUUCGUUAAGGAAAUAUUUAGGAAUAAUAAUUAUUAGUCACUAUUUUGUUUAAACCACGUUGUUUUUAAGUGAUCGUAUUCUAUGGAAACUCCAAGUACGAUAUCCCAAAAAGUGGCGUAGCUAUCGUACGGCCAAGUGGUGCAGAGCACCGGGGCUCCAGAGCUCAGGAGGGCCUCUAACCUCAGCUUUGAAAAGAAAACAAUAUAAAAGAAAAAAAUAAUUCUUGUGUGAACGGGGAAUUCUGUUAAAAAUCGUUUUUAUUGAUCUCAUCUGUAUAAUAAAUAUUCUGUAUUGUCA